rnacentral:rRNA from 1 species
UACGAAGGGGGCUAGCGUUGCUCGGAAUCACUGGGCGUAAAAGGGUGCGUAGGCGGGUCUUUAAGUCAGGGGUGAAAUCCUGGAGCUCAACUCCAGAACUGCCUUUGAUACUGAGGAUCUUGAGUUCGGGAGAGGUGAGUGGAACUGCGAGUGUAGAGGUGAAAUUCGUAGAUAUUCGCAAGAACACCAGUGGCGAAGGCGGCUCACUGGCCCGAUACUGACGCUGAGGCACGAAAGCGUGGGGAAGCAAACAGGG